rnacentral:rRNA from 1 species
GUCGAGCGCAGGAGUUAUCUGAUCCUCUUUUAGAGGUGACGAUAAUGGAAUGAGCGGCGGACGGGUGAGUAACACGUAGGCAACCUGCCUGUAAGACUGGGAUAACUCGUGGAAACGCGAGCUAAUACCGGAUAACACUUUUCAUCUCCUGAUGAGAAGUUGAAAGGCGGCUUUUGCUGUCACUUACAGAUGGGCCUGCGGCGCAUUAGCUAGUUGGUAAGGUAAUGGCUUACCAAGGCGACGAUGCGUAGCCGACCUGAGAGGGUGAUCGGCCACACUGGGACUGAGACACGGCCCAGACUCCUACGGGAGGCAGCAGUAGGGAAUCUUCCGCAAUGGACGAAAGUCUGACGGAGCAACGCCGCGUGAGUGAUGAAGGUUUUCGGAUCGUAAAACUCUGUUGUUAGGGAAGAACAAGUGCCAUAGUAACUGAUGGCACCUUGACGGUACCUAACCAGAAAGCCACGGCUAACUACGUGCCAGCAGCCGCGGUAAUACGUAGGUGGCAAGCGUUGUCCGGAAUUAUUGGGCGU